UACGUAGGGACCAAGCGUUGUUCGGAUUUACUGGGCGUAAAGGGAGCGUAGGCGGCAAUUCAAGUCAGUUGUGAAAUCUUAAGGCUUAACCUUAAACGGUCAACUGAUACUGCUUUGCUAGAGUACAGAAGGGGCAAUCGGAAUUCUUGGUGUAGCGGUGAAAUGCGUAGAUAUCAAGAGGAACACCUGAGGUGAAGACGGGUUGCUGGGCUGAUACUGACGCUGAGGCUCGAAAGCUAGGGGAGCAAACGGG
rnacentral:misc_RNA from 1 species